rnacentral:rRNA from 1 species
AAGGAAUAUUGGGCAAUGGACGCAAGUCUGACCCAGCCAUGCCGCGUGAAGGAUGAAUGUCCUAUGGAUUGUAAACUUCUUUUAUGCAGGAAAAACAUCCCGGUCGUGAACCGGGACUGAUGGUACUGUAUGAAUAAGCAUCGGCUAACUCCGUGCCAGCAGCCGCGGUAAUACGGAGGAUGCGAGCGUUAUCCGGAUUCAUUGGGUUUAAAGGGUGCGCAGGCGGAAUAAUAAGUCAGUGGUGAAAUCUCCCGGCUCAACCGGGAAACUGCCAUUGAUACUGUUAUUCUUGAGUACAGUUGAAGUGGGCGGAAUGUGUCAUGUAGCGGUGAAAUGCUUAGAUAUGACACAGAACACCGAUAGCGAAGGCAGCUCACUAAGCUGUAACUGACGCUUAUGCACGAAAGCGUGGGGAUCAAAC